GGGGACCCGCACAAGCAGCGGAGCAUGUGGUUUAAUUCGAAGCAACGCGAAGAACCUUACCAGGACUUGACAUCCCUGUGACCGGUCCGUAAUGGGACCUUCCCUUCGGGGCACAGGAGACAGGUGGUGCAUGGUUGUCGUCAGCUCGUGUCGUGAGAUGUUGGGUUAAGUCCCGCAACGAGCGCAACCCUCGUCCCUAGUUACCAGCGGGUUAUGCCGGGCACUCUAGGGAGACUGCCGGUGUCAAACCGGAGGAAGGUGGGGAUGACGUCAAGUCAUCAUGGCCCUUACGUCCAGGGCGACACACGUGCUACAAUGGCCGGUACAACGGGCUGCGAUACCGCGAGGUGGAGCGAAUCCCUAAAAGCCGGUCUCAGUUCGGAUUGGAGUCUGCAACUCGACUCCAUGAAGGCGGAAUUGCUAGUAAUCGCGAAUCAGCAACGUCGCGGUGAAUACGUUCCCGGGCCUUGUACACACCGCCCGUCACACCACGAAAGCUGGGAACACCCGAAGCCGGUGGCCCAACCCGCAAGGGAGGGAGCCGUCGAAGGUGGGACCCGUGAUUGGGGUGAAGUCGUAACAAGGUAACCGUAAGGGC
rnacentral:rRNA from 1 species